GUCCUACGGGGGGCAGCAGUGGGGAAUAUUGCACAAUGGGGGAAACCCUGAUGCAGCGACGCCGCGUGAGUGAAGAAGUAUUUCGGUAUGUAAAGCUCUAUCAGCAGGGAAGAAAAAAGACGGUACCUGACUAAGAAGCCCCGGCUAACUACGUGCCAGCAGCCGCGGUAAUACGUAGGGGGCAAGCGUUAUCCGGAUUUACUGGGUGUAAAGGGAGCGUAGACGGCGCGGCAAGUCUGAAGUGAAAGGCAGG
rnacentral:rRNA from 1 species